GAGCUUUCUUCAGCAGCACAUACACCAAAACCGGAACAACAAAGAGAAGAUCUGCACAGCCCUGUACAAAGAUGACAUGCAAAUUCAUGAAGUAUAUCAUAUUUUU
ensembl:snRNA U6 U6 spliceosomal RNA